GCAGAGCAAAAGAAGAGUGUGAAUAAAUCCUGUUGCUGAACUUACUUACAUAACAUAUGACUACACAGACCAUGGGGAGAACAGACAGGCCAGGAAGCACAGUCUAGUCUGGAGCAAUGCCCACUGCAGCUUUGUCGGAUGCAGGAAUCAGAGCAGUUGCCAAAAUCAGGACAGAUUUCUGGGAGGUAGAAGUUCUCCAGGCUCCAGGGAGCUGUAAAUGUGAUGAGGCUGAUGAUACCAACACUACUGACAUAGAAAUGGAAUGUGAAGCUCUUCAGAGCGCUCCUGAUUUAUAGGUUUCUGUUUGAUUCUAAAAAACCUCAAACUCUCUUCCAGAAGAACAUUUCCUGUUGGAAGAAAAAUUUAUCAGCAGUAAAGAAAACAAAGAGGAAAAGGACCAGAAGGUGAAGCUUACCCUUU